GCAAUUCAUAAUAGAUACAAUAGAUAAGUUGUUUAUGAAAACAUGCAGGACAAAACUUAGUACCCGAUGUCCGUAUGGAGAAAGAGUUUAUACUCCAACUGAAGGCAAAUAGGUAUUGAAGGAUCAUGCUUAAUAUGAUAUGGCAAUCAAUCAGUGUGUUAUUCGUCAUCAGCUCUACAGUGUGGAUCUGUCUGUGUUGUAAGAGGAAGAAGAAAAUAAAAUUGGGCGGUAAUCCAGAGUGCCAAGAGGGACCCUCAACUGGACGAUAUUACAAACAACCAAACACACCUCAAGUGCGGAUCUGUCUGUGUUGUAAGAGGAAGAAGAAAACAAAAUUG